UGGAUCAGAAUCGCCGCUCCCCGUCUGAUCCGUGGAUCAGAAAGUUCGCUUUCCGUCUCGUGGGCACUGAGACGAAUUGAGUGCAGGGUGAGAGAUCUUCUCCCUCCCAAGGCUGAGGAGUGCGGAAUAGAGGUCUGGAGUCUGGACCGCCGGCGGCGAGGUACCAUGGAGUUUCUCAUGCAACCAAUCGGCUGAUCCGCUCUGCUUGAGGAGGUGAGGGAGAGUUUGGUCCCCGCCCCUGUGCCUACGAAAGGCCAAGUUCUGGCAGGGCCGAUGGCGCCGCAGCAGCACGCGGCGGCAGACAGCGGGGAAGCGCCCAUCUUUGCGGCGGAGGAGGGAGGGAGGGGUCACCGCCGACAUCAGACCUGUCAACGAGGGAGAUGAAUCAUUGGUGCCCGGAUGGAACAAGAGUUCAGGACAGGAAGAAGAUUAUGAAAAGCUUGAAGGGGAAGAUUAUGAGGCUUGCUCUCAGUGAUUAUGUAUGUCUUGUAAGUGAUGUCUAUAUAUGUAAUAUAUUUUAGUGUUUAAAUAGGAUCAUACUGUGUGAAUUCUAUGCUCUAACCUAUACAAACAUUCUCCCAGUGCAUAGAAACUUUGGUUGGUUUUAUGCUCCCAAGCAAUUAAUCAUCAACUGAGAACAUGUCUUUUUUCCUCAAGUUCGUUGUAUGUCUUCUCUCCAUUGUUGAUAACACAAAACUUGUUACUGAGGUUAGCCAGCACCAAUCGUUUGCUUGAACCAGGUGUUAUGCUGCCAUUACAAGUAUCUGAAGAGACGAUGCUUAUUAGCUUACUUUCAAUAUUUGUAGGUUAUAAUUGAAGAGCUGACAAAGUAGUUAAAGGAACUCAUAUUUGACAAGGUAAAAGGAAUUCGAAGCACUUUUAAUUGUUAGUUAUAUUCACAUGAGACUAUUUAUUAUGGAGCUCCUUGCUGGAACAGAACGGGACAUGCCCAUUGCUGCAGAUAUUUCACCCACAUGGCUCACGUUAUUCUACUCCGACUGAUUUGAUUUAUCUGAAUUACAACGUCCCUUCCCUUAUCUCAAAAGGAAAAUUACCUAUUCUAUUAACUCUUAAGCAAGGUUGGAAAAGGCGGUAGGCGUAAGCGAGGCGGUUGGCCUUCGCCUAGUGCCUAGGCAGUGCCUAAGCGCCCUAGGCACGGCCUAGGCGGUAAUAUAGUUUUUACUCCUAGUGUAUUUUUGAUUAUUAUAUGGUUGUUGAUAUUAAUUUAGGGCAUAUAAAUAAGUUAGUUACCAUCUACUGCCAUUGGAAUAUAACACGUUCGUCAUGUCAGUGCAGUAUGUGGCAUGAUUUCUUGCUUGGGUGGACAAUUCCUUGCUUUCCCUACCUAGACCUCCAUUCAUGCCCUAGGCGAGGUGUUUGGCCAUUGCCUAGCGCCUCCUAGGCACUGCCUUUUCCAACAGAGCUCUUAAGUACUUUGAAGAGAAACAGGCCCCCAGAAAAUGUUUUUUUUUGUUUCAGGAUGAGGCAUCAGUUAACAUGGAUAAUGUAACUAACAAAGAACAUGAGGGUUCAUAAGACACACAGGUUGCAUCUGAUAGCAAGAAGGACCCGAUUAAAUGGCAGCAAGAACUGUUGAGCAUUGUGAGGUUCUCAUUGAGACUUCAUUGAAAAUGUUUGAGAGUUAGUUCGAACAAACUUUGGCGAAGAUGUAUUAUAUGAAGUAAUCUCCUUAGUCCAUGGUCUACGCUCCUACCUGUACCUCUAUAGCCAGUAUCUCGGGAUAAUAUUCAUUCAUCUAUGACAUUUAUUCGUGAAAGGAACUACCUGUGAUAAAUAUGCUUAUACUUGCUUGACCUUCUGAUAAACUGUCUGUUUUCCUGAUUGUUAUUCGACAAUGUGGAAAUAUUCUUAUAAGUUGAUGGAUUCUUUUCUCUGGGAUGUUCCUUGGGCCGAUGCGUAGUUUUAAUGCGAUUCACUUUUCCUUAAUGAUGAAUCAACCUCCUGUAAAAGAAAACAACACUCCGGUCUACGCACAAACGUACCUACUGUUUUCUUAGUCUGACUUUUGAUACAAAUGAGUAAUCAACUGUUAAAGGGCGUUAUGAUUGAACACAUUUUUGCUUUGUAAGAGGUAGUGCUGAUAUGCUUACUGAGAUUAUGCAUCUCCAUUUUCCAAGGUUUCUGUUGGUUCACAAGGUAACGUUUUGGUGGGCUUCACUGACAGGAUCCAUCCCAUGUCUUUGCAAAUUUUGUUUUCACUUUUUCAUGAUUUAUAAUUUAAUUUAGUUCAGAAAGCAUGGCUGAAAUGCAGCCUAUUAACAGUAGAGGGUCGUGGUCUACGUCAAGGACUACUACGAUGGCGCUGAUGAGCAGCUGAUCAAGCAGGUGAUGAUGAAGGCGAGGGUCUGCUCAGUGGGGGGUAGAGGACGGCGCUGGCCAUAAUAAGAGUUUUCUGUAUAGCAUCUGCCAUGC